UCUUUUGUAUUUUCUGUCAAAAAAAAAAACUUUUGUAUUUACGUACUUCCGCAAUAGCUGAAGCUCCAUUUGAAUCAAUGUAGCAUGUCUUAAAACUUAAUGUAUUAAACUUUAUAUGGAGGGUAUUCUUCCAUUGGAUGGAUUUGCUUCCAGGUAAUUGUAAUGAAAUACUACUGGCUUUAUACUAUCGAAAUCUUUAGUCUUAAUUGCCACAUGUUGAUUCUUAUCAAAGUGGUUUCUGAAAGAAUUUGCGGAUUCAGGCGGCAUUUAGUCUGUGGUUCUUGCACUUGCUUGAUGAGUUUAUGAUUUUUUUAUUUGGUUGUAAUUUUUUUUUUCCUGCUUUCAUAGCAAUGCAUGGUUUUGUCAAAUGCAAUGGUUUGUAGACCUAAUUGAUGUGUGUUGUGCAAGAAACGAAGUAAGGAAGUACAAGUGUGUCACUCCUUGGUGUAUAUGUAAAGUUCUAAUCAUCGAUUAUUUUGUACAUGCUGCUGGUCUUUCAAAUUCUUCUUCCAUGAAAAGUCCAUUUGGGAUUGAAAUCAGUUUGGAUAUUGUUUGAAAAUUUAUAAGCGAUUUAAUUUGAGCAUGCUGCCAUUUAUCAUACACCACUAAAGCUCUUGAUAAUAUAUACGACACAUUUUCAUCGAGUAUCUAAUGCCAAAACCUUAAGUUUCUACUUUGCAAGAAAAUUCCAAAGUUUCACAUUAGCAACAUCCAAAGUUUACAACAUGCCAAAGAAGUCUGCAAUGCAAUUGAUGCUAUUAGAACAGUGAUUUACAGCAACAUAUGAGUCAUUUCUUGUCCAUAUAUCCUUAGCUAACUCACAUGUAACAACAGACAUGCACGCAAAUUUCAAAUGAUUUCUGCAGUUUACACAUGAGGUUCUAGUAGGUAAGCACCCUUUUAGUAAUUGGAAAUUACUAGCGCUGCUAGUGCUAAUUCCACCUCUUGAAAACAACUACGCACAUGAUAG
rnacentral:lncRNA from 1 species